rnacentral:rRNA from 1 species
GACGAACGCUGGCGGCGUGCUUAACACAUGCAAGUCGAACGGAAAGGCCCUGCUUUUGUGGUGUGCUCGAGUGGCGCACGGGUGAGUAACACGUGAGUAACCUGCCCUUGACUUUGGGAUAACCUCAGGAAACUGGGUCUAAUACCGGAUAGGAGCUCCUGCUGCAUGGUGGGUGUUGGAAAGUUUCGGCGGUUGGGGAUGGACUCGCGGCUUAUCAGCUUGUUGGUGGGGUAGUGGCUUACCAAGGCUUUGACGGGUAGCCGGCCUGAGAGGGUGACCGGCCACAUUGGGACUGAGAUACGGCCCAGACUCCUACGGGAGGCAGCAGUGGGGAAUAUUGCACAAUGGGCGGAAGCCUGAUGCAGCAACGCCGCGUGCGGGAUGACGGCCUUCGGGUUGUAAACCGCUUUCGCCUGUGACGAAGCGUGAGUGACGGUAAUGGGUAAAGAAGCACCGGCUAACUACGUG